rnacentral:rRNA from 1 species
UACGUAGGGGGCAAGCGUUGUCCGGAAUCAUUGGGCGUAAAGCGCGUGUAGGCGGCUCGUUAAGUCUGCUGUGAAAGUCCAGGGCUCAACCCUGGGAUGCCGGUGGAUACUGUCGAGCUCGAGUCCGGAAGAGGCGAGUGGAAUUCCCGGUGUAGCGGUGAAAUGCGCAGAUAUCUGGAGGAAUACCGGUGGCGAAGGCGGCAUCCUGGACCGGCAUUGACGCUGAGGAGCGAAAGCUAGGGGAGCAAACGGG